CCUACGGGCGGCAGCAGUGAGGAAUAUUGGUCAAUGGACGGAAGUCUGAACCAGCCAUGCCGCGUGCAGGAAGACGGCUCUAUGAGUUGUAAACUGCUUUUGUACAAGGGUAAAAAUGAAUGCGUGUAUUCAGCUGAAAGUACUGUACGAAUAAGGAUCGGCUAACUACGUGCCAGCAGCCGCGGUAAUACGGAGGAUCCAAGGGUUAUACGGAUUUAGUGGGUUUAAAGGGUGCGUAGGCGGAUUGAUAAGUUAGAGGUGAAAUGUACGGGCUUAACUCGGGAACUGCCUCUAAUACUGUUGAUCUAGAGAGUAGAUGCGGUAGGCGGAAUGUAUGGUGUAGCGGUGAAAUGCUUAGAGAUCAUACAGAACACCGAUUGCGAAGGCAGCUUACCAAUCUAUAUCUGACGUUGAGGCACGAAAGCGUGGGGAGCAAACAGGAUUAGAUACCCUGGUAGUC
rnacentral:rRNA from 1 species